UACGAAGGGGGCUAGCGUUGCUCGGAAUUACUGGGCGUAAAGGGCGCGUAGGCGGUUAGUUUAGUCAGGGGUGAAAGCCCAGGGCUCAACCCUGGAAUUGCCUUUGAUACUGGCUAUCUUGAGUUCGGGAGAGGUGAGUGGAACUCCGAGUGUAGAGGUGAAAUUCGUAGAUAUCAGGAAGAACACCCGUGGCGAAGGCGGCUCUCUGGGACGGUACUGACGCUGAGACGCGAAAGCGUGGGGAGCGAACAGG
rnacentral:rRNA from 1 species